UACGUAGGGGGCUAGCGUUGUCCGGAUUUAUUGGGCGUAAAGAGCGUGUAGGCGGCCAGGUAGGUCUGCUGUGAAAACUCGAGGCUCAACCUCGAGACGUCGGCGGAAACCAUCUGGCUAGAGUCCGGAAGAGGAGAGUGGAAUUCCUGGUGUAGCGGUGAAAUGCGUAGAGAUCAUGAGGAAGACCAGUGGCGAAGGCGGGUCUCUGGACAGUUCCUGACACUGAGACACGAAGGCCAGGGGAGCAAACGGG
rnacentral:rRNA from 1 species